rnacentral:rRNA from 1 species
GUGUCAGCCGCCGCGGUAAUACGAAGGGGGCUAGCGUUGUUCGGAAUUACUGGGCGUAAAGCGUGCGCAGGCGGCUUCUCAAGUCAGUGGUGAAAGCCCGGAGCUCAACUCCGGAAUUGCCAUUGAAACUGUGGAGCUUGAGGACGAGAGAGGUGAGUGGAAUUCCCAGUGUAGAGGUGAAAUUCGUAGAUAUUGGGAAGAACACCGGUGGCGAAGGCGGCUCACUGGCUCGUUUCUGACGCUCAGGCACGAUAGCGUGGGGAUCAAACAGGAUUAGAAACCCGUGUAGUCC